CGUUCCCGGGCCUUGUACACACCGCCCGUCAAGACACGAAAGUUGGUAACACCCGAAGCCGGUGGCCUAACCCCUUGUGGGAGGGAGCUGUCGAAGGUGGGACUGGCGAUUGGGACU
rnacentral:rRNA from 1 species